rnacentral:tRNA from 1 species
GUAGAUGAAGUUUGAUAAAACAUUAGAUUGUGAUUCUAAAGACAGGGGUUCGAACCCCCUCAUCCACC